rnacentral:lncRNA from 1 species
AUAAAGUCAUUUAUUUAAACAAGAUACAUGGGAAAUUAACUAAACCCUAAAUUUCUCUCCGCCUAGCCCAUGAAUCUCGUCCAACUACUCGGUAUAUGAAAAAAAUCAAAGAUAAAUGAGCUAAAGUUCAAUAAGUCACCUUUUAUCUCUAAUUGGAUCAAGCAUAUGAUAUACGAGAAAUAUUAACUGUUUUUAUGGUAUAAAAACAAGGUUCGCCGUCUUCGUACUGAACCUCGUACUGGUAUCAUCCUAUUAUAAUGUCGAUAUGUGGUAUGGUACGAAAUGACGAUGCAUAUGCAUACCGAGUGUUGGUAUGGUAUGAGAUUGCGAACUGGUUCGGUACUGGUACGGUACGGUAUGUUCGGUAUGGUACGAUACAUCCAGUAUAAUAUGAUACAUCCGGUACGGUAUGAUAUUGACAAGUACAACAAACCUUGAAUAAAAAUUUUUAAUUGUUAAUAAAACAUCUUGUCAACAGAAUAAAAUUUAAAAGAAAUAUGCAUACCAACACAAUUUUUAAAGUACUCAAUGCGUCUGAUCAAGGAAAAGAUAUCUAAAUAAAAGAGGUAAAAUCCACCUGCUCUCACUUAGCCUAUGCGGCUACGACCACAAUCAGCCUCGUGAUAAGGUCCAAGAGAGACUAGUUCCUGAACAUAAAACAUGCUCUCAAUCAGCAAGUACCAGUGAUCAGGCCCAACUAGUUAGGCCCGAAAGGAGACUAGCUUUGAGUCACAUGGAAAACAUGGACAUGAUAGCAUGUGCUACUGAUCGGUCCUGCAUGGCUAGGCUCGAAACGAAACUAGCUCUUGAAUCAUCGUAUAGCCAAUGAUUGGCCCUGUUGGCUAGGCUUGAAUUAUAGUUAGACUAGAGAGCGAUCCAUACAAUAUCCAUAGUCUAGUAACAUAACCAAUCCAAAAGCUAUGGUUUUUGCAAACAAUAAUUAAUCAACCAUUUCGUACGGUAUAGUCAUGUCAAAAUAUAUCAACACAAAUUUUGAUUCAGUAUAAUUCAAUGUCAAGCUCAAGUUGGCCUUUUAUACUUGAUCCAUAACCUUUAAAAUUAAUUUUCAUGC